CGCCUCUGCUCUACGGUCUCACUCCUCCAUUCUCGACGCCGGAGUUCAGUUGUUUCAGUAGCAAUGGCCCCUACCUUUACCAACCUUAGCUCUGGGACUGGUCUCCAGACACUUGAUGACUACUUGUUGACCCGUAGUUACAUUACUGGCUACCAAGCUUCUAAGGAUGAUAUUGCUGUAUACUCAGCACUUUCUGCUGUACCAUCUGCAGAUUAUGUUAAUGUAUCUAGGUGGUAUAAACACAUUGAUGCUCUUCUUAGAAUGAGUGGUAUCUCUGCUGAAGGGCAGGGAGUGACUGUUACCG
rnacentral:misc_RNA from 1 species